AUUGAACGCUGGCGGCAGGCCUAAUACAUGCAAGUCGAGCGAGCGGCGGACGGGUGAGUAAUGUCUGGGAACCUGCCUGAUGGAGAGGGAUCACUACUGGAAACGGUAGCUAAUACCGUACACCAUCAGAUGUGGCCAGAUGGGAUUAGCUCGUAGGUGGGGUAACGGCUCACCUAGGCGACGAUCCCUAGCUGGUCGGAGAGGAUGAUCAGCCACACUGGGACUGAGACACGGUCCAGACUCCUACGGGAGGCAGCAGUGGGGAAUAUUGAACAAUGGGCGCAAGCCUGAUGCAGCCAUGCCGCGUGUAUGAAGAAGGCCUUCGGGUUGUAAAGCACUUUCAGCGGGGAGGCGUUACCCGCAGAAGAAGCACCGGCUAACUCCGUGCCAGCAGCCGCGGUAAUUC
rnacentral:rRNA from 1 species